UACGGAGGUGGCAAGCGUUGCUCGGAAUCACUGGGCGUAAAGGGCGCGUAGGCGGCCUUCUAAGUCGAACGUGAAAUCCCCGGGCUCAACCCGGGAACUGCGUCCGAUACUGGAAGGCUUGAAUCCGGGAGAGGGAUGCGGAAUUCCUGGUGUAGCGGUGAAAUGCGCAGAUAUCAGGAAGAACACCCGUGGCGAAGGCGGCUCUCUGGGACGGUACUGACGCUGAGACGCGAAAGCGUGGGGAGCAAACAGG
rnacentral:rRNA from 1 species